AGGACUACGCGGGUAUCUAAUCCUGUUUGCUCCCCACGCUUUCGCAUCUGAGCGUCAGUCUUUGUCCAGGGGGCCGCCUUCGCCACUGGUAUUCCUUCAGAUCUCUACGCAUUUCACCGCUACACCUGAAAUUCUACCCCCCUCUACAAGACUCUAGCCUGCCAGUUUCAAAUGCAAUUCCGAGGUUAAGCCCCGGGCUUUCACAUCUGACUUAACAGGCCGCCUGCAUGCGCUUUACGCCCAGUAAUUCCGAUUAACGCUCGCACCCUCCGUAUUACCGCGGCUGCUGGCACGGAGUUAGCCGGUGCUUCUUCUGUAGGUAACGUCAAAUAAUGCAGGUGUUAACUGCACUACCUUCCUCCCUACUGAAAGUGCUUUACAACCCGAAGGCCUUCUUCAC
rnacentral:misc_RNA from 1 species